rnacentral:rRNA from 1 species
GACUGCCGCUCCCAACCUUGUCCACUCUCAAAAGUCAAGCAGGGUCAGGCCUGGAUAAUCCUCGGAUGGGAGACCACUAAGAGAUGCCAGAAUGGCAGGCU